rnacentral:lncRNA from 1 species
GGCUCAGUGCUCCCCAAGGACCCAGUGCGAAGAAGCCUCGGACCCCACAGCUGCCGUCCGCGACCCCUAACUCCACUCUGCAGCGAAUAAAUUAACAUCUUGGGCCUUUCAUUUACAGGCA